rnacentral:tRNA from 1 species
GAGGAUGUGACUCAAGUAGUAGAGGGUCUGUCUAGCAAGCACUAGGCCCUGAGUUCAAACCCCAGUAUCAUUA